rnacentral:rRNA from 1 species
ACACGGGCGGCCCGAGUGGUGAUCGUGGUUAUUGGGUCUAAAAGGUCCGUAGCCGGUUUGGUCAGUCCUCCGGGAAAUUUGACAGGUCAACUGUUAGGCUUUCGGGGGAUACUGCCAGACUUGGAACCGGGAGAGGUAAGAGGUACUACAGGGGUAGGAGUGAAAUCUUGUAAUCCCUGUGGGACCACCUGUGGCGAAGGCGUCUUACCAGAACGGGUUCGACGGUGAGGGACGAAAGCUGGGGGCACGAACCGGAUUAGAUACCCGGGUAGUCCCAGCCGUAAACGAUGC